AUUGUUAAGACAGUUGAGCUUUAAAGAUUUUAAUAUUCUUUUUGAGUAUAUUUCAUGUUUGAAUUUUUUUUUGACUUUUUUUUUCCAGAGUAUUCAAGUAGGUAAAUUAUAGUCAUCUUCUUAUGUGAAGGAAAGUCUGCCAUGUAUAAGAUAAAUAGAUAUUUUUUUUAAAGAAAGUGUUAUUGAAUUAUUUUGGAAGACAUGAGAGAGAGAGAG